GAUGAAGAUUAUGCCUACGACUCUUGCUGUGUUAGAAGAUAUGUAUGGAUAUAUGGCUUUCCCAAGCUCAAUAAUGGAAUUCCUUCUUUUGCAGGGGGAGGGAGUGCUGCACCUGCGGCAUGCGGAAGUUUCGAAGGUAGAGAUCAAACCAAGCCACAGCAGUGACGAUGCCGGAUCCUUAACCUGCUGUACCGUCGGGGAACCCCUAAAUCCUCGUUUUAAUAAAUAGGAAAACUAUGGCUCAUCAGGUGAAGUGAAAGUCAUAAAGCUAGUGAAUGGAGUUGCUGAGAUUCAAACAGAUAUUUUACUCUAAAUUUCAUUAUCUUUUCAAUAUGUUUAUGCCUAAGAUAAAGGGGGAAAUGUAUACAUCAUUUUAUCCUUGACAUCAGUGUAUCCCCCAUGCCCACAUAACAGUAGAGAAAAUUUUGAAUUAAUCUUACUAUGUGGUGAUUGCAUUUCAAAGGAUCAGUGAGGAUCUGAGCCCCUCCUAACCUCUUUAGUCUGGCUCUGUCAUCAGUAGCCCAGUUUAGAGUUGAUAGCCCCAUCUGAGAUUUAGUUUGUGGCCCCAGUCAGAGGUUCUAGAUCAAGAUCAAGUUCCUUUGACCCCCAGGCCCAGGUCCAGCUACAAAGCAAUACAAGCUCAAGAGAAGGAAGGAGACGGUUCUGAGAGCACCUUGGGGAGCACCCUCCCUAACCUGAGAUGUUUUAGGGCAGAAUAAAAGAAUCCCUGGAGCAAGUAGGUCCUAGAUAGCUGUCAUUACAGCAGUUCUUGAUUCUCCGACUUAUAGUGAGCAAGGCUAGGAUAACAUCACCACAUCCGUGAGCCAUCAAGUACAGUGUGACAACAGAAGCUUGCGCAAACUCUCAGAGGGAAGAGGGAAGCCAGGGCAAAGGGGGAUGGAUUAGGGACAAGUUCUUAGGGACAUAAGCUUUAUUGUGGGGUGUUUGAAAAGUUGGUCUUGGAAUAGGAGAUCACCAACCCCGACAGAUGAAAUGUAUCUCCACUCCUCCCUAACUAUACCCCAACUUCUAUUUUCCACUUCUUUCCCGAUUCUGGCCUGGUCCUAACCAAACCUGAUUGAUUUUUUUCCCUUGAUCCUGGCCAGAAUGAAAGAAAAAAAAAAAAAGUUAAAAAAAAAAAAAAAACUUUUCCUUUUAUCUAUAGAAGCACUGAAAGGUAGUACUGAAGUGGACUUCAUGGAUUACCUACGUCUUGCUCCUUGCUUAAAACAGCCAUGGAAUUAGGGUAGAAUGAGUAGAUGCCUUUUCUAGGAUCAUGCGUAAUGUUAGUGACAGCACUAACGCUAGAAAUUGAGAGGAAGCCACUGCCGGUGCUUUUAGGUGAAAUAAAUAAGUUUCUAGAAAAACAUCAGUUACCAAAACUGAUAACAAAAGAAAUAGAAACUCUUUAACUAUUUUGAAUUGUUUUUAAAAUUGAAUCCCAUAAUUUAAAAUUUGGGGUCCCAGAUAUCAUGGCUUAACAAUUCUACCAAAUAUGUAAGGAAUAACCCAAUAUUUCAGAAACUGUACUAGAGAAUUGUAAAAGAGGGCACACUCCCCAACUCAUUUUAUUGGCCUGCAUAACCUUGAUAUCAAAACCACAUAAAGAUAAUUUAAAUCUGAAAUUAGAGAUCAAUGUCAGGAGUUCCCCUCAUGGCUCAGUGGUUAACGAACCCGACUAGGAUCCAUGAAGAUGCACGUUUGAUCCCUGACCUCGCCCAGUGGGUUAAGGAUCGGUGUUGCCACGAGCUGUGGUGUAGGUCGCAGAUGUGGCUUGGAUCCCGAGUUGCUGUGGCUGUGGUGUAGGCUGUUGGCUACAGCUCCGAUUAGACCCCUAGCCUGGGAACCUCCAUAUGCUGCAAGUAUGGCCCUAAAAUAGCAAAAAAAAAAAAAAAAAAAAAAAGAGAGAGAGAGAGAGAAAUCAAUGUCAUCAUGAAUAAGAAUUCUAAACAAAAUAUCAGCAAAUAAAAUUGGGUGCUGUUUUUCCAGUUUUACUGAGAUAUAAUUGACAUGCAACACUGUGUAAGUUUAAGGUAUACAGAUAAUAACUUGACUUACAUAUGACAUGAUUACCACAUAGGUUUAGUAAAUAUGCACUACCUUAGAUACCAAAAGCAAUCAUGACCAAGUUAGGAAUGCAGUAUUUGUUUAACUCUUUAAAAAAUUAACCAGUGAGAUGAACUAUAAUAGCAAGAUAAAAGUCAUAUCAAUAAUACAGAAAAUGCAGCAUUUCUGCUGUGUGGGUUAAAGAUCUGGCAUUGCUGCAGCUGUGGUGUAGAUUGCAGCUGCAAUUCAGAGUCCAUCCCUGGCCUGGGAACUUACAUAUGCCCAAGGUGCAUCCAAAAAACAAAAACAAAUUAUAAUAAUGUAGAAAAUGCAUUUGUUAAAAUGCAGAUUCUACUCAUAAUUUUUAAAAUACAUGAUUUUUUAAAUCUUGAGCAAACUAGAAAUAGAAGGAAUUUCCUAGCUCUGAUCGAUAAUGGACAUCUGUAAGAAACCUACAGCAGAUAUACUGAUGUCUCGUAUUAGGUACAAAUUUCAAUAUAAUACAAGUCUUCCAAAGUUUCCACAAAUUGUAAGGAACCACAUAACUUAUAAAGUAGUAAAGAGCACUAAUUGCAAGCUGUGUUUAUGUUAUUAAGAUUUGUCUGUAUCACUUUAGCAGAUAAGCUGAAAUAUGCCCAUUUCACACUCAAGCCAGAAUUGAUAGUAUCCUGGAAUGAGCACACGUGACAAAUGCUUUAGAGUGUUUGGAAUGAUUUUGUAACUUUAUUUCAGCCACACCUGCAGUAUAUGGAAGUUUCUGGGGUAGAGGUCAACUCAGAGCUGCAGCUGAGGCCUACCUCACAGCUUGUGGCAAUGAUGGAUCUUUAACCCAUUGAGCCAGGCCAGGGAUCAAACCCAGUCCUCACAGAGACAACAUCAGGUCCUUAACCCACGGAGCCACAAUGGGAACUCCUGAUUAUGUAACAUUGGUGAUUAUUUUAACAUUUGCUAUUACGAAAAUUUUAAAUCUUUUAAUUACUACGUCAGUCUCAUCCAAAUAUUCAUUAAAUGGUUGGGCUCUUAGGGGGCUUAAAAAUUCAUGAAGACCAAUUACUUUGAAGUGGAAAUUAGAUGUUCUAAUAUACUACAAAGACACUUAAACAAACACCAUAAUGCACUGUGUAGUUAAUUUAGUGGAGAACAUUCCGUCCAACUUCAGAGUUAAUGCCAAGAGAAUAAAAAAGGCAGUGUUAGAGCCGAUACAUUCCACAGUGGAUGUAAAUUUAUGCUCCCCGAGGAUGCCUUCUCGCUAGUCUUUGUCUUUUCUUAUGGGGAUAUUAGUAUUGAGUAAUUAAGGUUUUGAAUUUUUUCAGGUAUUUACAAACAAAAUCCUUGCAUAGCCUGCUCUAUUGUUAUGUAUAUGAACGAUUUUUUUUCUUUUUUGUUCAGUUUUUUCCCUAUAUUUGAUUUUUACAUUCAUUUUUACACUUUAAGGAGACGUAUAAUUUUUACCAAAAAAAAAAACCAAAACACAUUGAUGCCUUAUAUUCUUGAUUAAAGUGUAUUUUAUUUUAAAAUAUUAUAAAGUCCCCUCAUGUCAAUUAAUACAUCUCUGCAUGAUAAUUUUUUAAUGGUUACCUAAUAUUUCACCUUAUGGGUUCCUACAAGCUCAUUUCUUUUUUUUUACACUUAGAUUUUUAACAAUGUUUUGCUGUUAACAUAAACUUUAAGAAAUGUACUUAUAUAUUCAUCUUUGGACAAUUAUUUCCUUGGGUCAUAGUUCUAAUAAUAGAAUUGCUCCAUUAAAAUGCAGGCUAGGGAGUUUCCGUCGUGGCUCCACAGAAAUGAAUCUGACUAGUAUCCAUGAAGACGAAGGUUCGAUGCCUGGCCUCACUCUGUGGGUUAAGGAUCUGGUGUUGCCAUGAGCGAUGGUGUGGGUCGCAGAUGAGGCUCGAAUCUGGCGUUGCCGUGGCUGUGGCGUAGGCCGGCGGCUAUAGCUCAGAUUCAACCCCUAGCAUGGAAUCUCUAAAUGUCACAGGCGCAGCCCUAAAAAGCAAAAAACAAAAUAAAAUAAAGUGCAGGCUAUUUUUAAAUCUUGGUACAGAGUGGCUUCCAAAUUGUUUUAUAAAUUAUAUUCCAAAUAGAAAUUUAUGAGAAUAAACAUUUCCCCAAACUUAUGCCUCCUUGGAUAUAAUUUUUCUUUAUCAUCUUUACCACUGUAAAGGCCAAAAAAUGUAUUUAAACAUUUGCAUUUUUUUAUUUGUAGUCCAUGGGCUGCUUUCACAUAUUUACCCCGCAUUUGCAUUUUCCCUUUUAUUACUUUUCCCUUUAUAUCCAUAGAUCAUUUUUAUGGUAGUGUGAUCUUCUUAUAAAUUUGUAAGAGAUAAUUAAAGUCAAUAAGCCAUUUCUUUUAUAUAUUUAAGUAUAUUUUCCAAUCUAAUUUUACCUGUUUUUUUUUUUUUUUCUGAAAGUAAGGUUUUAAAUGUUUCUAGAGUAAAAUUUUGUAGUCAUUGUUUUUUGGUUUGACAGCCUGCCAUCCAUACCCAGAGAUUAAAGGAGAAAAUUCUUUUGCAUUUUCUCAAGGUACUUGGUGGUUUAACUAUUAAAAUGUUAAAUCAAGAAUCUAAGUGAGGAGUUCCCAUCGUGGUGCAGUGGAAACGAAUCCAACUAGGAACCAUGAGGUCGUGGGUUCGAUC
rnacentral:lncRNA from 1 species